CCGGCCCUUGUCCCGCCUCCCGCCUAGGCCCGUAACAAAGGGCCCUGCGCUCCGCCCCGCCCGCCCCUUAACCCCUUCCAGGCAGAAGGCAGGCUCCACGCCCUCCCAGGGUGGCGCAGCCCUUGUUGCCGCGUGUCCAGGAAGGUCGGUGGAAAUGCAAAUUCCUCUCCACUUACCAAGACUGAUCUCGCUUAUAUUUGGGGAGCAACUGUGAUUAAACCUAAAGUGGGUGUCUGAGGUGCCAGACUAGGCCUCACAAGUACCCAGAACUCAUGCCACUCAAUCUUCUGGAGAAAAGGACCAGAGUGACCAAGAGACCACGGUCCCAACUGGAUACUUUCCUGAUCCUGGAAGACCAUUUUCUGCGAGCUCCCACAUGCUGACUAGUGUUGUCUUGAUCCCGCCAACCUCUACGUGAUGCCAAAAGUAACACUGAGAGAGGUGCCGCCACUUCCCACGAUGCAGGGCCUGCCUGUUCUGCUACCACUUGGAAAGUCCAAGGGUCUUGGAUCAGGUUAUAAUAAAGUCGGUCAUAGAGCAUAUCAGAUCACAGGGUUAUAUUCAGAUUGGCAGCUUAAUGCCAAGAACUACACAUUAAAGGGCAUUCUGAAAUUCUAACCACAUCCUUGAAUACUCUUUAAUACAAGUCAGACAUUCACGUGUGCUGGACUUCAUGCUGGGAUGUAAGCCUGUUUUUAAAAGCUAAUGACUACUACUAAUAUUCUACUUUUAUGGCAAUGACCUUAUCCUCUGAAAUCCUCUCUCAAGGUGAGUAAUGCUUCUAAAUUGUCUAGAUUCGUUACAAUUAAGAUAAAAAACUAUUCAAUAGGCCAGGCAACACACUCAAGCAGCAGCGCUCAUGGUAGCCAUUGCCAAGUUGCACACAAACACAAACUGACUGAACUUCUAUCCAGCUAUAGCUUUUGAACUCUUGCAAGAUAGGGGGAGUGCUGUGUACAAGCACAUAUCUGCAUACAUGCAGGCAGAUUGCUGUAUACAUAAUAAAUAAAUAUUAAAAAAAAAAAGAACUUGGCACCUAAGCUUCCAUGUCUGAGCACAGUAGAACCCUGUCUGUGUUGCAGCCUACUGAUUCAGAAUGUGUGGGCUAAACUGCUAAAGCCCCAGAGGACCCAACCAGGGGCCAUUUUGGAAGAAGGAAGGAAAGGCUGCUACUGGAUCCUAUCAGGAAUGGGACAGACCUGGAUGGAUGGAUGGAUGGAUGGAUGGAUGGAUGGAUGGAUGGAUGGAUGGAUGGGCGGGCAAGCCAGCGGGCGGGCAGAUGGACAGACAAACUCCAUGAAUUUGGAACUCAUCUGAAAACAACUUGUAGAUUUAAGAAAUACAUCACAGUAGAAGUAAUAAAAGAGGGACUCUAAAAUUUUAGAUUGGAUUUAUUUUAAAUUUGGGGUUCAAUCUCUUUUUUAAAAUGGGGCAGGCACCCACCAUAGCAGUGGGUCAAGAGGAGGCAGGAAUGUGGUAGAGGGACUGGAGUGGGAGUGGGAGUGGAGGAAGGUAGGUGAGUCUGGCUAGAGGGGCGGCCUGGGCCCUCCACAGCUGAACCUUGCAUCUUUUCAGCACAGCUGGUUGUGCUGAAGGAACAGGGAUGGUCUGUUUCACAAGUUGAGCCAAUACAGCCCACAGCCUCUCACUGUUGGCCAGUUUCUCUAGCUUGGACCAUCUGUCUGUGUGGAGCUGAUCACAAUAGCUACACCACUUCACUGCCCUACAAGGACGCAUGUCCCUGGUAACUCUUGGAACCUUUCAGUCAUAACUGUUUGUCUGCAGUCAUGGAUCACUAAGGUCCAGUGACUCCAGUCAGGCAACUGACAAGGCCAAGCUGUAGAGCUUGGAUAAGCUUAGGCCAUGUUGGAGACCUGCUUGAAGCUGGUGGGCUGCAAACCCAAGAAGGGCUGUCCUCCAACUGCUACCUGGAAGGUACACUCUGGUGGGAAUGCUGGGGGACCCUCCAGGACUGUCCUGCCUGUGCCCUGCAUGCUCUAGGUCCCUAACCUUCCCCUUCUGAGGUCUCAGCAGGUACUUGUGGGUUGAGCAGACAGCCUCAUUCAGAGCCCCGAUUUCCUCAUCCGUGAGGUAGUGGGAGUGUCCUAAGAGUGGUCUCCACAGUGGAAAUAACAUAUGGAGGCCUUAAUACAGAAGGUGCAUAGUGGCUGCUAUAGCAUUUUCCAGAGAACUCUGCACUAGUUAAGGACAGCACUCCUGCAUGAGUACUGGGUGUAUGUUGAGACACAAAUGAAUACUUUGCAUCAAGAAUGACUGGAGAUGGGACUGGAGAGACAGCUCAGUGGUUAAGAGUACUGUCUGUUCUUUCAGAGGUCCUGGAGUUCAAUUCCCAGCAACCAUAGUGGCUCACAACCAUCUGUAAUGGGAUCCGAUGCCCUAUUCUGGUGUGUCUGGAGACAGUGACAGUGUGCUCAUAUAUAAAAAAAAAUAAUAAAUCUUUUAAAAAAAUGACUGGAGACAGCACAACAUGAAUUAGCUCUGUGGUGGUUUGUACUUGCUUGGCCUAGGGAAUGGCACUAUUUGGAAGUGUGGCCUUGUUGGAGGAAGUGUGUCACUGUGUGUGUGGGCUUUAAGACCCUCAUCCUAGCUGCCUGGAAGCCAGUCUUCUCUCACCAACCUUCAGAUGAAGAUGUAGAACUCUCAGCUUUUCCUGCACCAUGACUGCCUGGGCGCUGCCAUGCUCCUGCCUUGAUAAUGGCCUGAACCUCUGAACAGGCAGCCCCAAUUAAUGUCCUUCCUUCUAAGAGCUGCCUUAGUCAUGUGUCUGUUCAUAGUAGUAAAGCCCUAACUAGGACGCUCUGGAAGGAGAGUAGAGUCGGGGUUGCUCGGGUUCAAAUGUCAUAGAGCCUACCUGACAUCUACAGCUGACGUUUGGGAGACUGAGACUUAGACGUAACCAGCCCUCCACCCUCAUCUUCACCAGCCUCUUCCAGACUCAACACACCGUGUACAUGCACACUGCAGGCUGCCCUGCAUAUCAUAAUGCUCCUUGUCUGGUCCAUCCUCUUGGGAUGUCUAGACUGUGAUUCUCAGUGAGGACCCAAAGCAAAUUCUCUUUCUAGAAAACUUCAUAAUUUGGAAGGUGGAGGCAAAAGAUCAAGAGAACAACUUAGGCUAAGGAGACCCUGUCUUAGAAAACAAAACAAAAAUCUCAUAUACUAUAUAUAUACAUGACUUUACUAUAUUUUAUAAGUAAAGGGUAUAAACCUAUUUGGUCAAAAAAAAA